AGCAACGGUGAUGAGUCCUACAGACCUGUAAUGACUCCUGCGGAGAUGAUCGCAUGGUCUAUAAGAACAUCUAAGGGACUGAGUUGUCUU
rnacentral:snoRNA from 1 species